AACGCAACUUGCGCCAUGUAUAUGGCAUGUCUGUUUGAGUGCCGCAAUAAUAAUGUGUAAUGCGUAUUGACGGUUGUCAGCUGGGGACUCUGUCUAAAUGCAGCCAGCAAUGGUCGUGGAUGUGACAGUCCGAGUGCUAAGCAUUCUUGGUCUGAUCGCAACUGCGGCCGAGGGUGGGCUAGUGGUGGAUGAUUGUGUGCAAACCGUGUCAUCACGCCAUCACUCCCUAUCCCCUCCCCUACUUACUAUUGGCCUCAAAUCAGGCAGGAUCACCCGCUGAACUUAA
rnacentral:misc_RNA from 1 species